rnacentral:rRNA from 1 species
UACGUAGGGUGCAAGCGUUAAUCGGAAUUACUGGGCGUAAAGCGUGCGCAGGCGGUUUUGUAAGUCUGACGUGAAAUCCCCGGCUCAACCUGGGAAUUGCGUUGGAGACUGCAAGGCUAGAAUCUGGCAGAGGGGGGUAGAAUUCCACGUGUAGCAGUGAAAUGCGUAGAGAUGUGGAGGAACACCGAUGGCGAAGGCAGCCCCCUGGGUCAAGAUUGACGCUCAUGCACGAAAGCGUGGGGAGCAAACAGG